rnacentral:rRNA from 1 species
UGGGGAAUCUUGCGCAAUGGCCGCAAGGCUGACGCAGCGACGCCGCGUGUGGGAUGACGGCCUUCGGGUUGUAAACCACUGUCGGGAGGAACGAAUACUCGGCUUCGAAUAGGAGCCCGAGGGUGACGGUACCUCCAAAGGAAGCACCGGCUAACUCCGUGCCAGCAGCCGCGGUAAUACGGAGGGUGCGAGCGUUGUCCGGAAUCACUGGGCGUAAAGGGCGCGUAGGUGGCCCGUUAAGUGGUUGGUGAAAUCCCGGGGCUCAACUCCGGGGCUGCCGAUCAGACUGGCGGGCUAGAGCACGGUAGGGGCAGAUGGAAUUCCCGGUGUAGCGGUGGAAUGCGUAGAGAUCGGGAAGAAUACCAGUGGCGAAGGCGUUCUGCUGGGCCGUUGCUGACACUGAGGCGCGACAGCGUGGGGAGCAAACAGG